rnacentral:misc_RNA from 1 species
GAAAUGCGAUAAGUAGUGUGAAUUGCAGAAUUCAGUGAAUCAUCGAAUCUUUGAACGCAUAUUGUGCCCCUUGGUAUUCCAUGGGGCAUGCCUGUUCGAGCGUCAUCUACACCCUCAAGCUCUGCUUGGUGUUGGGCGUCUUUGUCCCGCCUCCGCGCGCGGACUCGCCCCAAAUUCAUUGGCAGCGGUCCUUGCCUCCUCUCGCGCAGCACAUUGCGCUUCUCGAGGUGUUGCGGCCCGCGUCCAGAAAGCAAUCGUUACCGUCUUUGACCUCGGAUCAGGUAGGGAUACCCGCUGAACUUAAGC